CCAUACUAGUAUGAGUUGAUUUUAUAUGCCAAAACUAGUCUCUUUAAUCUUGGUAUUCUUAAUGCAUAUAUUUUAAAAAUAUACCAAGUAGACAUUCUUAUGUUUAUGAUCAAUAGAAGAUAAUGCCAUGGAUAAGAACUCUCAAUCAAGCAUAUAGAGAAUUCAAAGAGUUAUUCUAAGAGUAUUGAUUGAGCAAAUUAUCUAUCAAUAACUAAAGCAUAAUAUAGGAAGAUGGAGUGACUUGGAUAUAUUUUCUUUUCAUACCAAAAGUAUCACUUAUAUCACAAAAAUGAUUAAUACUAGCUACAAUUUCAAUAUGAGAGGAUGCAAGGAUUACUAAUUUCAUUAUUUCUUCCAUUUUAGUCACUCUUCUUAAUUACAUUUUAAGUUCCAUUCUUUAACACGUGUCUAGAGAACCCGUUGUCCAGAUAUUGGAAUCUUGGGUAGCUAGACACAUUUGCUAAAAAUGAUCAGGUUUUCAACUUAGAAACCCAAGCUUUUUUGGGUCCUUGCAG
rnacentral:lncRNA from 1 species